UCGUAACAAGGUUUCCGUAGGUGAACCUGCGGAAGGAUCAUUACCGAGUGAGGGCCCUCUGGGUCCAACCUCCCACCCGUGUCUAUCGUACCUUGUUGCUUCGGCGGGCCCGCCGUUUCGACGGCCGCCGGGGAGGCCUUGCGCCCCCGGGCCCGCGCCCGCCGAAGACCCCAACAUGAACGCUGUUCUGAAAGUAUGCAGUCUGAGUUGAUUAUCGUAAUCAGUUAAAACUUUCAACAACGGAUCUCUUGGUUCCGGCAUCGAUGAAGAACGCAGCGAAAUGCGAUAAGUAAUGUGAAUUGCAGAAUUCAGUGAAUCAUCGAGUCUUUGAACGCACAUUGCGCCCCCUGGUAUUCCGGGGGGCAUGCCUGUCCGAGCGUCAUUGCUGCCCUCAAGCACGGCUUGUGUGUUGGGCCCCCGUCCCCCUCUCCCGGGGGACGGGCCCGAAAGGCAGCGGCGGCACCGCGUCCGGUCCUCGAGCGUAUGGGGCUUUGUCACCUGCUCUGUAGGCCCGGCCGGCGCCAGCCGACACCCAACUUUAUUUUUCUAAGGUUGACCUCGGAUCAGGUAGGGAUACCCGCUGAACUUAAGCAUAUCAAU
rnacentral:misc_RNA from 1 species